rnacentral:tRNA from 1 species
GAGGUUGUGGCUCAGUGGUAAAGCGCAGGCCUAGCAUGUAUGAGGCACUGGGUUCGAUUUUCAGCACCACA